rnacentral:rRNA from 1 species
UACGGAGGGGGUUAGCGUUGUUCGGAAUUACUGGGCGUAAAGCGUACGUAGGCGGAUUAGUAAGUUAGAGGUGAAAUCCCAGGGCUCAACCCUGGAACUGCCUUUGAUACUGCUAGUCUUGAGUUCGAGAGAGGUGAGUGGAAUUCCAAGUGUAGAGGUGAAAUUCGUAGAUAUAUGGAGGAAUACCAGUGGCGAAGGCGGCCUCCUGGCUCGACAUUGACGCUGAGGUGCGAAAGCGUGGGGAGCAAACGGGAUUAGAUACCCCGGUAGUCCACGCCGUAAACGAUGUCUACUAGCUGUAGGGGUACUUGAGACCUUUGUAGCGCAGCUAACGCAAUAAGUAGACCGCCUGGGGAGUACGGCCGCAAGGUUAAAACUCAAAUGAAUUGACGGGGGCCCGCACAAGCAGUGGAGCAUGUGGUUUAAUUCGAUGCAACGCGAAGAACCUUACCAGGCCUUGACAUCCCCGGAACUUUCUAGAGAUAGAUUGGUGCCUUCGGGAACCGGGUGACAGGUGCUGCAUGGCU